CCAGACUCCUACGGGAGGCAGCAGUGGGGAAUAUUGCACAAUGGGGGAAACCCUGAUGCAGCAACGCCGCGUGAGUGAGGAAGUAUUUCGGUAUGUAAAGCUCUAUCAGCAGGGAAUAGAAAAGAAGGUACCUGAAAAAGAAGCCCCGGCUAACUACGUGCCAGCAGCCGCGGUAAUACGUAUGGUGCAAGCGUUAUCCGGAUUUACUGGGUGUAAAGGGAGCGCAGGCGGCACGGCAAGCCUGAUGUGAAAGCCCGCGGCCCAACCGCGGGACUGCAUUGGGAACUACCGGGCUGGAGUGCCGGAGAGGUGGGCGGAAUUCCUAGUGUAGCGGUGAAAUGCGUAGAUAUUAGGAGGAACACCAGUGGCGAAGGCGGCCUACUGGACGGUGACUGACGCUGAGGCUCGAAAGCGUGGGGAGCAAACAGGAUUAGAUACCCUCGUAUA
rnacentral:rRNA from 1 species